rnacentral:misc_RNA from 1 species
GAUGAAGAACGUAGCGAAAUGCGAUAAGUAAUGUGAAUUGCAGAAUUCAGUGAAUCAUCGAAUCUUUGAACGCACAUUGCGCCCAUUAGUAUUCUAGUGGGCAUGCCUGUUCGAGCGUCAUUUAACCCUUAAGCCUAGCUUAGUAUUGGGAAUCGACUUUACUGUCGUUCCUCAAAUUCAACGGCGGAUUUAUAGCAAUCUCUGAACGUAGUAAUUUUUUUCCUCGUUUUUGAAAUACUAUAAACCUCAGCCGCUAAACCCCCAAUUUUUUUAUGGUUGACCUCGGAUCAGGUAGGAAUACCCGCUGAACUUAAGCAUAUCAAUAAGCGGAGGA